rnacentral:lncRNA from 1 species
GAUGAAUAUGUGAACAGACUCACAUCAUCCAUGUUAAUAGCAUAAAACGGCAAAGUACAAUUGUCUACACAUAUGACUAUAUUUAAAUCUCCAGAAUAACCAUGUAUCCGGAUCUGCAACGUGGAUGACGCCAAAGUCAUUGAUUGGAUCUGCACUGGAUCGAAGCUGAUCUAACAAUCUGAACUGAUCAAAUACCUGAGAGAAACAAGAAAAACAAACAACGUUGCACAAAGACGACGAACAAACCAACGUCGCACGAAGACGACGAAAUCACAAAAUAAAAAACAAAAUAGAUGUGAAAAUCACUUAUUUCAA